rnacentral:lncRNA from 15 species
GUAAAAUAAAUGUUGUGUAGCUCAACUGGAAAAAUGAGUGAACAGGGAGAAGUAGAAGUCACCUCUUCCGUCAACCAGUCCUCAGUUACAAACCACACUGAAGUUGACGGUUUGACUAACUGUGAUCAGGUCGGCACUUCAGCCAAUCCCUUCUUUAUAAUUGUCUUCAGUCUGGUGUUUCUGGUGAGUUUCAAUAACAGCACAACCUUAGAAGACUCAGAGGCUCAAUGUAUAUUCACCCUUUUCUAAUUGACUGUAAAAGAUAUAUGCUAUUAAAUGAUAAUUUCUUUAAUACAAUUGAUUCAGAGCAAUUCAAUAUUUAAAUUAAAUGUAAUAUCUUGUGUCCAUCAGGUCAAAUCCUUUGUUCAGCUCAAACUUAUGACUGCAAAUGCUGUAAAUUGUUGUAAAGCUGACUUCACCUGCUUUUCUCUGCAGGUGGGUCUCCUCCUCAACAGCUUCAUCAUGAAGUUUUACUUCUGCCGACGUCACCGGCAGACGUCCAGCAGCAUUGUUGUCUACCUGAAGAACCUGGCAGCAGCUGACUUCCUGCUCUGUCUCUGUCUCCCCAUCCGCAUCGCCAACUAUGCCAGCAACACAGUCGCUGUCCGCCUGGUCCAAUGCAACUUUGGCUCCGCCCUCUUCUUCCUCAACAUGUACGCCAGCAUCAUGUUCAUGUGCUACAUUGCUGCUAACAGGUAUCUGAAAAUUGUCCGAGGAACUUCAGGAACUCACAUCCUGCAGACGG